rnacentral:rRNA from 1 species
UACGGGGGGGGCAAGCGUUGUUCGGAAUUACUGGGCGUAAAGGGUGCGUAGGCGGUCCGCUAAGUUGGAUGUGAAAACUCUGGGCUUAACCCAGAGCCUGCAUUCAAAACUGACGGGCUAGAGUUCUGGAGGGGGUAGCGGAAUUCCUGGUGUAGCGGUGAAAUGCGUAGAUAUCGGGAGGAACACCUGUGGCGAAAGCGGCUCACUGGACCACAACUGACGCUGAGGCGCGAAAGCUAGGGGAGCAAACAGG